UACGUAGGGUCCAAGCGUUGUCCGGAUUUAUUGGGCGUAAAGAGCUCGUAGGCGGCUUCGUAAGUCGGGUGUGAAAACCCCAGGCUCAACCUGGGGACGCCACUCGAUACUGCGGUGGCUUGAGUCUGGUAGGGGAUCUCGGAAUUCCUGGUGUAGCGGUGAAAUGCGCAGAUAUCAGGAGGAACACCAGUGGCGAAGGCGGAGAUCUGGGCCAGUACUGACGCUGAGGAGCGAAAGCGUGGGGAGCGAACAGG
rnacentral:rRNA from 1 species